rnacentral:rRNA from 1 species
AUUGAACGCUGGCGGCAUGCUUUACACAUGCAAGUCGAACGGUAACAGGCCUUCGGGUGCUGACGAGUGGCGAACGGGUGAGUAAUGCAUCGGAACGUACCCAGAGGUGGGGGAUAACGCAGCGAAAGCUGUGCUAAUACCGCAUGUGAUCUGAGGAUGAAAGCGGGGGACCGAGCAGCAAUGUUUGGCCUCGCGCCUUUGGAGCGGCCGAUGUCGGAUUAGCUAGUUGGUGGGGUAAAGGCCUACCAAGGCGACGAUCCGUAGCUGGUCUGAGAGGACGACCAGCCACACUGGGACUGAGACACGGCCCAGACUCCUACGGGAGGCAGCAGUGGGGAAGUUUGGACAAUGGGCGCAAGCCUGAUCCAGCAAUGCCGCGUGCGGGAAGAAGGCCUUCGGGUUGUAAACCGCUUUUGGCAGGAACGAAACGGUGUCCGCUAAUACCGGGCGCUAAUGACGGUACCUGCAGAAUAAGCACCGGCUAACUACGUG